rnacentral:rRNA from 1 species
CCCUUAGAUGUUCUGGGCCGCACGCGUGCUACACUGAGUGGAUCAGCGGGUCAGGUUGCGCGAAAGUGUUUCCUAAUCUUUAAAUCCGCUCGUGAUGGGGAUUGACGGUUGCAAUUUUCCGUCAUGAACGAGGAAUACCUUGUAAGCGCGGGUCAUCAUCCCGCGCUGAAUACGUCCCUGCCCUUUGUACACACCGCCCGUCGCUCCUACCGAUUGAUUGGUCCGGUGAGGCUUUGGGAUCUGAGCGGAAAGAGCGUUUCGCUGUUUCUGCCCGGAAAACUCAGUCGAACCUUAUCAUUUAGAGGAAGGAGAAGUCGUAACA